GACGAACGCUGGCGGCGUGCUUAACACAUGCAAGUCGAACGGAAAGGCCCUGCUUUUGUGGGGUGCUCGAGUGGCGAACGGGUGAGUAACACGUGAGUAACCUGCCCUUGACUGUGGGAUAACUUCAGGAAACUGGGGCUAAUACCGGAUAGGAGCUCCUGCUGCAUGGUGGGGGUUGGAAAGUUUCGGCGGUUGGGGAUGGACUCGCGGCUUAUCAGCUUGUUGGUGGGGUAGUGGCUUACCAAGGCUUUGACGGGUAGCCGGCCUGAGAGGGUGACCGGCCACAUUGGGACUGAGAUACGGCCCAGACUCCUACGGGAGGCAGCAGUGGGGAAUAUUGCACUAUGGGCGGAAGCCUGAUGCAGCAACGCCGCGUGCGGGAUGACGGCCUUCGGUUUGUAAACCGCUUUCGCCUGUGACGAAGCGUGAGUGACGGUAAUGGGUAAAGAAGCACCGGCUAACUACGUG
rnacentral:rRNA from 1 species